rnacentral:rRNA from 1 species
UACGUAGGGUGCGAGCGUUAAUCGGAAUUACUGGGCGUAAAGCGUGCGCAGGCGGUUCGUUGUGUCGGUGGUGAAAGCCCCGGGCUUAACCUGGGAAUGGCCAUGGAAACUGGCGAACUGGAGUGUGGCAGAGGGGGGUGGAAUUCCGCGUGUAGCAGUGAAAUGCGUAGAGAUCCGGAGGAACCCCAGAGGCGAAGGCGGCGCUCUGGCUCGCAACUGACGCUCAGACACGACAGCAUGGGGAGCGAACGGG